rnacentral:rRNA from 1 species
UACCAGCACCCCGAGUGGUCGGGACGUUUAUUGGGCCUAAAGCAUCCGUAGCCGGUUCUACAAGUCUUCCGUUAAAUCCAGCUGCUUAACAGAUGGGCUGCGGAAGAUACUAUGGAGCUAGGAGGCGGGAGAGGCAAGCGGUACUCGAUGGGUAGGGGUAAAAUCCGUUGAUCCAUUGAAGGCCACCAGUGGCGAAGGCGGCUUGCCAGAACGCGCUCGACGGUGAGGGAUGAAAGCUGGGGGAGCAAACCGG